UACGUAGGGGGCAAGCGUUGUCCGGAUUUAUUGGGCGUAAAGAGCGUGUAGGCGGCUUCACAGGUCCGCUGUGAAAACUCGAGGCUCAACCUCGAGAUGUCGGUGGAAACCGUGUGGCUAGAGUCCGGAAGAGGAGAGUGGAAUUCCCGGUGUAGCGGUGAAAUGCGCAGAUAUCGGGAAGAACACCUGCGGCGAAAGCGGCUCACUGGACCAUAACUGACGCUGAUGCACGAAAGCUAGGGGAGCAAACAGG
rnacentral:rRNA from 1 species